rnacentral:rRNA from 1 species
CACGUAGGGGACGAGCGUUGUCCGGAUUCAUUGGGCGUAAAGCGCGCGUAGGCGGUCUGUCGCGUCGAUCGUGAAAACUUGGGGCUUAACCCUGAGCUUGCGGUCGAUACGGGCAUGACUGGAGUUCGGCAGGGGAGACUGGAAUUCCUGGUGUAGCGGUGAAAUGCGCAGAUAUCAGGAGGAACACCGGUGGCGAAGGCGGGUCUCUGGGCCGAUACUGACGCUGAGGAGCGAAAGCGUGGGGAGCGAACAGG